rfam:Astyanax mexicanus Tnplaced_Scaffold2549, whole genome shotgun sequence.
AACCUGGUUGAUCCUGUCAGUAACAUAUGCUUGUCUCAAAGAUUAAGCCAUGCAGGUCUAAGUGCACACGGAAGGUACAGUGAAACUGCGAAUGGCUCAUUAAAUCAGUUAUGGUUCCUUUGAUCGCUCCACACGUUACUCGGAUAACUGUGGUAAUUCCAGAGCUAAUACAUGCAAACGAGCGCUGACAGUCCUCUCUCGGGGGGGCCGGGAUGCGUGCAUUUAUCAGACCCAAAACCCACCCGGGGGACCCGCGAGGGUUUCCCCCGGCCCUUUGGUGACUCUAGAUAACCUCGUCGAUUCGCGCGCCACCGCGGCGGCGACGUUCAUUCGAUGUCCUGCCUAUCAAGCUGUCCCGAUGGUAGCAUAGGGGGCUACCAUGGUGACCACGGGUAACGGGGAAUCAGGGUUCGAUUCCGGAGAGGGAGCCUGAGAAAUGGCUACCACAUCCAAGGAAGGCAGCAGGCGCGCAAAUUACCCAUUACCGACACGGUGAGGUAGUGACGAAAAAUAACGAUGCAGGUCUCUUUCGAGGCCCUGUAAUCGGAAUGAACGUAUCCUAAACACAUGGGUGAGGACCCAUUGGAUGGCAAGUCUGGUGCCAGCAGCCGCGGUAAUUCCAGCUCCAAUAGCGUAUAUUAAAUUUGCUGCAGUUAAAAAGCUCGUAGUUGGACUUCGGGAGACCCUGCCUCCCGGCGCCCCCCGGAUGCCCUUGGUUGGGUAUCCGGUCCUCAGGGGUCCGGAGCGUUUACUUUGAAAAAAUCAGAGUGUUCAAAGCGGGCACCAAACUCGCCUGAAUGCCUGAGCUAGGAAUAAUGGAAUAGGACUCCGGUUCUAUUUUGUGGGUUUCCUGAACCAGGGCCAUGAUUAAGAGGGACGGCCGGGGGCAUUCGUAUUGCGCCGCUAGAGGUGAAAUUCUUGGACCGGCGCAAGACGGACGAAAGCGAAAGCAUUUGCCAAGAAUGUUUUCAUUAAUCAAGAACGAAAGUCGGAGGUUCGAAGACGAUCAGAUACCGUCGUAGUUCUGACCGUAAACUAUGCCAACCCGCGAUCCGGCGGCGUUAUUCCCAUGACCCGCCGGGCAGCGUGCGGGGAAACCAGAGUCUUUGGGUUCCGGGGGGAGUAUGGUUGCAAAACUGAAACUUAAAGGAAUUGACGGAAGGGCACCACCAGGAGUGGAGCCUGCGGCUUAAUUUGACUCAACACGGGGAACCUCACCCGGCCCGGACACGGAAAGGAUUGACAGACUGAUGGCUCUUUUCUCGAUUCUGUGGGUGGUGGUGCAUGGCGUUCUUAGUUGGUGGAGUGAUUUGUCUGGUUAAUUCCGAUAACGAACGAGAUUCCUUCGUGCUAAAUAGUUAUCGCCGGCCACCCCGCGGAUCGGGUAACUUCUUAGAGGGACCAGUGGCGUAUAGCACGCGAAGAUGGAGCAAUAACAGGUCUGUGAUGCCCUUAGAUGUCAGGGGCUGCACGCGCGCCACAAUGGCCGGGCCAGCGUGUGGCCUACCCUACGCCGAGAGGCGCGGGUAAUCCGCUUAAACCCGUUCGUGACGGGGAUUGGGAUCUGCAAUUAUUCCCCACAUGAAUGAGGAAUUCCCAGUAAGUGCGGGUCAUCAGCUCGCGCUGAUUAAGUCCCUGCCCUUUGUACACACCGCCGUUCGUAACUGACCGAUUGGAUGGUUAUGUGAGGUCCUCGGAUCGGCCACGCCGAACUAUCAUCUAGAGGAAGUAAAAGUCGUAACAAGGUUUCUGUAGGUGAACCUGCGGAAGGAUCAUUA